AUCACAUCAGAUUGUGGUUAAUCUUGCAGAUCAUGACUUAUAUCUACUCUUCCUCUCCCUGCAGUUUGGUGAACGUUAUGAGCUGGGAUGACAGACAUGUCCACGAAUCCACUCUGGCCUUCCAGGUUUGUAAAGAUGGACGAUUGGUGGUUCUGGUGGUUUCAGCUCCUGA